GAUGAACGCUGGCGGCGUGCCUAAUACAUGCAGGUCGAGCGAACGGACGAGAAGCUUGCUUCUCUGAUGUUAGCGGCGGACGGGUGAGUAACACGUGGAUAACCUACCUAUAAGACUGGGAUAACUUCGGGAAACCGGAGCUAAUACCGGAUGAUAUUUUGAACCGCAUGGUUCAAAAGUGAAAGACGGUCUUGCUGUCACUUAUAGAUGGAUCCGCGCUGCAUUAGCUAGUUGGUAAGGUAACGGCUUACCAAGGCAACGAUGCAUAGCCGACCUGAGAGGGUGAUCGGCCACACUGGAACUGAGACACGGUCCAGACUCCUACGGGAGGCAGCAGUAGGGAAUCUUCCGCAAUGGGCGAAAGCCUGACGGAGCAACGCCGCGUGAGUGGUGAAGGUCUUCGGACCGUAAAACUCUGUUAUUAGGGAAGAACAUAUGUGUAAGUAACUGUGCACAUCUUGACGGUACCUAAUCAGAAAGCCACGGCUAACUACGUG
rnacentral:rRNA from 1 species